CGGCGAACGGGUGAGUAACACGUGAGCAACCUGCCCCAGGCUUUGGGAUAACCCCGGGAAACCGGGGCUAAUACCGAAUAUGACCUCUGACCGCAUGGUUGGUGGUGGAAAGUUUUUCGGCUUGGGAUGGGCUCGCGGCCUAUCAGCUUGUUGGUGGGGUGAUGGCCUACCAAGGCGACGACGGGUAGCCGGCCUGAGAGGGCGACCGGCCACACUGGGACUGAGACACGGCCCAGACUCCUACGGGAGGCAGCAGUGGGGAAUAUUGCACAAUGGGCGGAAGCCUGAUGCAGCGACGCCGCGUGAGGGAUGACGGCCUUCGGGUUGUAAACCUCUUUCAGCAGGGACGAAGCGUAAGUGACGGUACCUGCAGAAGAAGCGCCGGCCAACUACGUGCCAGCAGCCGCGGUAAGACGUAGGGCGCGAGCGUUGUCCGGAUUUAUUGGGCGUAAAGAGCUCGUAGGCGGCUUGUCGCGUCGACCGUGAAAACUUGGGGCUCAACCCCAAGCCUGCGGUCGAUACGGGCAGGCUAGAGUUCGGUAGGGGAGACUGGAAUUCCUGGUGUAGCGGUGAAAUGCGCAGAUAUCAGGAGGAACACCGGUGGCGAAGGCGGGUCUCUGGGCCGAUACUGACGCUGAGGAGCGAAAGCGUGGGGAGCGAACAGGAUUAGAUACCCUGGUAGUCCACGCUGUAAACGUUGGGCGCUAGGUGUGGGGGGCCUCUCCGGUUCCCUGUGCCGCAGCUAACGCAUUAAGCGCCCCGCCUGGGGAGUACGGCCGCAAGGCUAAAACUCAAAGGAAUU
rnacentral:rRNA from 1 species